UUGCAUAUCUUCAAAACAAGAGCUCCACCCCCCUUGCAGUGUGAAAAGGGGGAGUUCCUUUCAGUCCUCAGAGCUGGGUGCCUUGGAUGUGUUGUAAUCCCACCCCCACUAUUUUGAUGUCUUUUCUGUUCUGCUUUCUGCUUGUUGACUCUUUCCUCGGUAUGCCUACAAAUGGAACAAGAAGAAAAUGGAGUUAGAAUUAAUGAGAAGUCUGCUGAGACAUGGGCUCAGUACUAUGUGCAGGAAGUUAAGUCCUCAACCAGGGAGAAGCUGAGACCUCAAAGAAUCAGAGUGGCCUCUAAAUUCCUGAUUUUAUAGAGAAUUCUGGUGGUAGAGAUGCUACAAUGAUGAAAGUGACAUCUUCCUUGAGACUCCUGCACCAUGAGAGCAAAGUGGUGGAAGAAAAGAAUGGGCAGGCUGAAGCACAAGAGAAGAAAGAUGAGGCAGAGGUCCAAGUAAACCAUCUUGUGCACCCAUGAAGCCUGCAGGAGAAGUAGUAAGGGAUGCUGAAGAGCCGGAUGCCAAACAACGUUAUUGACUGUAUGCUCCUGUCGGUAAUAAGUCUCAGUAGACAAGGAACAUCACCCUCGCAGAGAUCAGCUGGGUUGGGUUGUGCCUUCCCCACAACAAAUACUCCCGCUGUCCAGACCUUUGGCAUUCUGGACUAGUUCUGUUCUCUCUUGUGCCAUGUAACUCAUGUACAAUAAACCCUCUU
rnacentral:sRNA from 1 species